rnacentral:tRNA from 1 species
GCCUGAUUAGCUCAGUGGUAGAGCGUUGGUCUUGUAAACCAAAGGUCGAGUGUUCGAUCCACUCAUUAGGCA